GCUGCUGUGGUGGCUGGGUGAACUGGGGUUGCUGGGACCUGCCGUGGCCCAUGCUUUUUGAUCGGGUGUAGAUUUACCAGGCUGGGGAAGGAGCACCGUAUUCCAGUCUCCAUGAGGAGCAGUUAGUGUGGCUGGGAGCAUCCCAGUGAUGCCCCCUGCCCUUGGGGAGAGCGGAGGCCGUGUGGACUUGCUCCCUCUCCUCAGAGGACAUUGCUGCGCGUUGUUGGAGGCAGAUCACAAAAUGCAGUGGUAUUUGCACACUUGAGGCAGGUGCUCUAAAAAGGUGAAAAAAAAAUCAGAAAAAGAAAAAAUAUUUUACUUGUUAAUAUUUUUGAAUAAUUGCAAUUACUUGCCCUGUAAAGCCCAGAGGCUUUUGCAAUAAUGGCAAUCUGCAUACUAUUAAUUUUUUAUAAUGUUAAUUUGGUGAAAUAAGUAAUUCUUAACAUUAGUAGCUCUUGGAAAGUACCAUGAAUCAAUUAUCUUCAUCAUGUACCAGUAGUGCUGGCAAUCUAGCAUUAUAUGGUUUUGCCAAGGAGCUGCGUUUUGUUAACUUCAGAUGAAAUACAAAACUCUGUUUUUGAAAAAAUACUGCUUUUUCCUCCUCUUUUACAGAGGAGAUUGAUUUUUAAAGCAGCCUUCAGGAGGAAAAAUUAACUCUAAAAGGAGUUUUUAAAUAAGCAUUUUUAAUAGAACAAAUAUCCCCUGCUCUUGGAUGUUGCUUAAUGAAAAAACAAAUUAUGCGGUAGCUACAGAUUAGUUUUGUGUUUGUUUUUUUUUUUUUUGCAAAUGAUUACUCCUCCUUUCCUCUUGCUUCCAUACCUGCAGCUGAGUGCAGCACUGAUACACCACAGCAGAGCCUGGAUCUGCAUUUUAUGCACAUCAACAGGCUUUUUGCCAUUGUAAUGUGCUGUCAUUAGGCAGUAUGGUACUCUGCGUCGUGUAGUAAGAAUAAUUAAUUCAUUAUUCAGUGAAAGAAAAAUCAGAUUCAAUAGAGUUUGGGCUGUUUCUUUUCCUAACCCUUUUCCCCCACUACUGUUUUUAAAAUUUCUGGCUUUCUUUCAUUUCUUUUUCCCCACUCUAUAAGCCCCGCCCAUGCAUUUUGCACGCGAUUGCACAGUGAUGGGAGGCUGGCUGGCUGGCGUCCUUUGCUGCCUGCUGGGGCAGGGCAGGUUGCAGGAUGUUAUGCAAAGCUGCGAUAAUAGCCGGUGACACUGUGAUGGCAGUUUUAUGCUCGCUGGGUCACUGAGGUUGGGUGGCUGCUUUCUGAGAUAGUGAGUGAUGGAGAUGCUGGCUGGGGCAUGCUAGAAACGAGAGGCUUUGGUUUUGCCAGCUGCAGAGUGGGGUGUGUGGCUCUGUCCUGUACCCCACGGCUCAGCCAGGGAUGCCCCAGACAUUUUUCGGGCUGUGCAGGAGUGAUGUGCUGAUUGCUGCAGCCACCACCCCCAGCUGGUGGACACUGACCUGCAAAAAAGCCUGAGAAAAGCUCCGUAAGGAUACUGGAAAGGAUACUGGAAUUGAUGCUUUUCAUUUAAAAUAGGUGAAAUUCCUAAAAAUAGUUGAAUUAUGGCACAGACACACAGUUGUGCCUUGGAGUAGGUAGAAGGUUCUCUCUGCUGCUUCUAUUACAGCUUGGCUUUCUGCUUCAUCAUCUUGGGGGGGGGGGGGGGGGGGCAGGGAGGGGAGCUGGAAGGGCAGCCUUCCCAAAACCUCUCCUCAGAUCCCAGCAGCUGCUAAACACAGGUGAAGUUCAAACAAUAGCAGCAUCCCAGUCUGCGACUAGAAGAAACCUGAAAUAAGACUUUUUAGUAGUGCCUGUAGCAAUAGGAAAAGUGGUAAUGGUUUUGAGCUCAAAGAGGGCAGAUUUAGGUUAGAUAUUAGGAAGAAAUUCUUUGCUGUGAGGGUGAUGAGACACUGGCCCAGGUUGCCCAGAGCAGCUGUGGGUGCCCCAUCCCUGGCAGUGCUCAGGCCAGGCUGGAUGGGGCUGGGAGCAGCGAGGUCCAGUGGGAGGUGUCCCUGCCCACAGCGGGGGACAGAAACUAGAUCAUCUUUGAGGUCCCUUCCAACCCAAACCAUUCUAGGAUUCUACAAACACCUGUUCAGUGCCACCCUUCAUACCUGUGAUCACCCGUAGCAGUCGGUGGGAGCAGGACACGGGGCACCUGGCUCAAACACCAGCAGACCCAGGGCCGGAAGUGCUCUGUUAGUGCUCAAUCCAUCGAUGUGGGAAGUUCCUGCUUGUUAGGAAAUGCAGGUGAGGUCCUGGCCCUCUUCCUUAUUUCAUGCUCCCCAGAGGACAUUGCACAUGAAGAUCUGACAUCUGGUUUGUCCAGCCAGGAGGUCCCGUGGAGCUGUGCUUCCCGGUGGAAAUCAGUGUAUGAGUUAGGUCGGUUCUUUGCACGGAUGCUUUGCACCUUCCUCCUCCUCUUUGAGCACUGGCACAGGUUGCCCGGAGCAGCUGUGGGGAUGCUCAGAUGGGUGGCUCUGCUCGAGCAGGGGGUGGGACCAGGAGACCCCAGAGGUGCCUCCAGCCUCUGCCAGCCUGGGAUCUUCAUGGUGACCACAGAGGCUGCAGCGAGUGGUGCUGGUGGUACAGGAGGGGUUGGAUCUGAACCUGAUGUUCUCCUCUGGCAUCGGGGCAGCUCCAGGCACUGCAGCAGGACUGCAGCCAUCUGAAUCCAUCAAAAUUUGCUUUAAUUGCAAACAUCGGGGUAAUGGGUUUGUGGCUCUGGGGCUGCUGUAAAGCACCUCCUAAUGGGGGAUGCUUUGAUAAGGUUAAUGACUCCUCGGCUCCUGAGAUGACUCUCCUUAAAACAUCCUGAAAACUCAGCAUCUGGCACUGGCUGAAAAUGUGCAAUAAGGAGAAAGAAAGGAGGUCUGAUGUUAAUUUUGAGACUCAUUGAUGUUCAGGCAGUUCAUGUAUGAACGGAGAUCAGUGACAUAAAAAAUAAAAUACAGGGUCUCCUGUGUUUCAGUACAGCCUUGGUUUACUCAUGGCUGCCUUCAUCCUGGGAAUGCAUUUGCACUGAGAUGUGACACACAGAGGCAAAGCAAGGAUGGGACCGUGGAAGGGGGUUUAAGAUGAUACAUUUAAAACUUCAGAAAUGAAAACACUAUUAAAAAUGUAUUAUAAUGUGAAAAAUGUAGGCUUUCACUUCUGUUGACACACAAUUACUAGGUUUGGAGGAUUACCGCUUCUGAAUUUGUUUUGCUACUGACACAACACAAAUGAGCACCAGAACUUUUUGAACCGGGGAAGCGAUUUAGCAAUCAGUACGAUGGUAAAGAAAAACAAAUAGACCUUGUCUGUUAGCAUGCGCUAGCCCUAAAAAUACACAGUAGUAAUUUCAUGGGUGACCUGUGCUGUAAUGUGAUGCUGACGAUCCCGAGCUGAAUGCAUAUUUGUAUUUUGGUUGCCUGCUUGUUAGCAAAACGAGCAAAUGGCUUUUGUAGGGCUGAUGUGUUGGGAUGCAAAGGCGAACUGGAUGACGUGUGACAGUACUCCGCAGGAGCCAUUGCCCCCUUUUCCUGCCUGCUUGCCUGCAGGUUCGUGUUUCCUUGUGGAUAACAAAAGCCCUGGAGGCUCUAAAACAGUAAAACUCUGAGGGCUGGCUUUUGUCACAUGGGCUGGCGGUGUUCGCCUGCCAUGGGUGAUGCUAGACCUGUGGCAAUGGCAGGGGUGCGGUGCCACGGGCACGGCACACUUGUCCUGCUCACUGGCAGAGCUGUAGCUUUGCCUUCAGUGCCUAGUUUCCUCCAAACCAUGUUUUGGGGAAGAGAAGUGUGCUCAGCCCAUCUUUUCCCUUUCUUUUUCAGGGUUCUCUCUAGCUUAACACCAGAAAGAUUUCUCUUCAGCGGGUGAGGAAUGUUUCAGUUGGGUGAUUAAUUAGUAUUGCUAUUAAUACAAGAUGUGAUUCCAUUAGAUUAAUCUAUCUUAUUGGUCAGGCUUUAAUUAAUUAGGUAAUAAAAGCGACCCUAAAAAAAAAUCUUGAAGGCUGGUUAAUGAAACCCAUGGAUCUACUUAUUAAGAAUUAAAACCUUUCUCCCUUUAAUAUUUUUCUGCAUUAUUAAACCCUGCUCAGUUUCUUUGUAUGGUUUGUCCCAUCAAUAAUGAGAGCCUUAUUUCUGAAUUGCUUUGUGUGAGCCAAGAAAUCUAAUAUUAUCUAAUUAGGGACAACUCUUCCUGCAUAAUAAGUACAGGAGCAGCAAAAUCAAUUUGUUCCAGGCAUUUGGUAUUACUACUAAAAAAAUCCAGUCUGAUACACUGUAUACUGCUUUUCAUAGAAGAGAAAAAAACAAAUCAUCUCUGUAGGUGAAGAGCCAGUCCUAUCCCUAGGGUGGCUGGAGGCUCCGGUGGGGAACACACCUGCCUCCAUCCCAAAGGCGCUGUACGAAAAGACAUAGUUUUGAAGAAUUUACACAGUUUGAAUGCAUCCAUCCCAUCCUUGCCCUGUAUGUUUUGGUGCAUAAUUAUUUAAUUCCUGACAGGUUUUGAACAAGUUAGUGUCGGAUGAAGUGGCGCUGCCUCCUGUGUUAUGGGAGGGAUGCGAUAAAAUGAGUCUCUGUUUUGUUUCCAGGGUGUUGCCUUAGCCUUUCCUUCCUCUUGCCUGGCACCAGGGACUGCGCUGGGAUUUGCGGCGAUACAAGUUCAGUGAGAUUUUUGCUGGAGCGGUUCUGGGGCUUUAAUAACUGAAGGAAUCCAGAGGAUCUCUUGUUAUUAGCACAGAAUGAAAAUUUUGGUUUAGAAGCCGAGAUUCAUUAAGAAAUGGGGAAAGAGGCAUUUAAAUAACAAAUGCAUGUUUAAGGCUUCCGAAAACUGCAGUUUGCCCAGUGGUUGUGCUGGGGGAAAAGUCCUUACACCAGUUGAUCUCCAAUACCACUGAUUCUGUUCUGUUCUAUAAUACCACCAUGCUUCUGUGAUUCCAGGCUGGAUAGUUGCUGCCGGUCAUCACUGCUUGGGAGAAUGAAGUGCCUUCACUGCACGGGUGUCUUUAAAUGUAAAGACUUUCUGAUACAAUGACACCUAGGGAAUUUUGUUUCUACUCUUAGGGAUGCUGCUGCAACGCUGUCAACUGUCGACCUUCACUUACGGCCCGUGGAAACGCUCCCGAGUCCUCAGGCCUGUGGUGUUCCCAAAGGCAGAGCAUGGGUUUGGAGGGACUUUGGUGCGAAGAGCAGGAGCGUGGUGCUCCCCAUAACCCUCUAUAUUAGCAACUUUGUCAGCUGUGUUGGGAAGGUGGUGGGAAUGCAAAGCAACGCAAGUGCAGAAUUGCACCGCAGGGACAGGCAAACAUGGGUUUUGUCACUUGGAAAUGGGGGAAUGAAUAGAGCUGAAGCCCAGAGGACAGAUGUCACACCUGUACAGAUACUGUGUUAGCUUGUGCAAUGUAGCAAUAACAGGCACAAUAAAUUAAUGGUACCCUGAAAUGAAAAUUCAGGAUAGUUUGAGGCUUAUGUUGCUGAAAACCCGAUCAUGAAGCAUUUACCUGGUGGUAAAGCUGUGGGGUUUUAAUCGAUACUGGAGGUUGUUUGUACUUACCCUCUUAAUUUAGAGGUUAUGAUUUUUAAAUACUGUUCUGAACCUUACUAUUAGAUUAAGGACUUCUUUGAGGUCUGUGCCGUGAGGUCUUAUUACUGAUACUUCUCUCGGUGAAAAAGAAAAGUUUUUUUUGUUCUUCCAGCUGUAGUCAUUGAGCAGAAGGAAGAACCGAGAGCCCCUGCAGGAACCUGGGUCCCUCCAGGAGCGUGGGUGCUCUUCUGCUCCUCUGGCUGCUUUGGAAGCUCGUGGUCCCUGGAAGGAGGUUUAUUUCCCAGCUCCGCAGCCGCUUUUCCUUCCUGAAUUGCACCGGUUAUUACCCACUUACUUUUGACUCUCGGGCCUUUUCUCAUUUGCGUUCUAAAUAUCAACUACAGCUUAAAGCAGGAGUGGUUUAUUUUCUUGGGAGGUAGGUGAAGAGACUUUAGGGAUAAGCUUAUGCUUCUUUACACAUAAAAGCACUUCUGUAGCUUUCAUGCUCCUGGUGCUGAUGGGGAAAUGCUGGUUUCAGAGGUCUGCUAGCCUGGGUACUAGUGGGCAUACUGCAACCAAGAGAAUGUUAAGAAAAUGUCAGUGUGACCCGUUAGAUUUCACUCAAACCUUGACAAAAGAACAUAAAACCUGAUCAGUAGGAAUUUGUUUCCAUUGCACCGAAUAGCAUUAUGUACAAACAGAUGAGAAUGGCUUUUGGAGUAAAUACUCGACAGCAAUUUAAUUUUGAAUCUGUUUAUGUGAAAUCCUUUUUGAACGGAGAGAUGAACUGUAAUCCUCUGCAGUACGAUGCUCUGACUCCUGCUGAACCAUAGUCGCAUUGCUAUUUCUGUUUUCCUAGUAGUGAGCCUUUGGGGUCUGAUCUUAUUUUCUUUGGCUAUGAGCAGCGCUAACCUGUGUCUGCUUUAUAGCUUCCCUGUUGCAGCUCCCAGGCUAUUGUAGCAGUGUGCUUGCCACUAUAAUUACAAUGUGUAAUUUAUCUUUGGUUCUCAGAUUCUCCGGCGUAAUUUCCUGGAGGGAUAACUCAAAUGAUAAUGAAUGCAUGGUUAUGAAAGUUGCAUUGCCUUGUAAUAAUAGCAAAAAUGAAAGGUAAAUUAAACAAAAACAUAUUAGGGCAGGCUAUACUGAAACGGAGCAGGUUUCACCUCUGUUUUGGCUGCAGUUGGGGAUGCGCUCCUGCUGGGGAAACACACGUGCCCUGGUUUGCUGGAGCAGCCAGGUCAGUGGAGGGAAUCCCCUUGGAAAGCCCUGGCUCCAGCGGGGCUCAGGUACUGGCUGGGAAAUGGGGAUAGCUGUUGGGACCUGGGGAAGGAGAGGUAAUCCUGGGGUCAGACUUGGUAUGGGUGAUGUGGGGGGGGGUAUAUUGAUAUAAAAUGAUGUUUUAUCAGUAAGGCAGCAAUCGAUAAGGCUAUUCUAACCCUGGAUUCUUGCCGUUAGUGCAAAUCCUGGCUUGUAAGAAUCAUACAGUUGAGCUCAGUGAACUCAAUCCUAAUUAGUUGUGCUGCAAGCCCUGAGUGGGGUCUGUAGACAGCCUCUGAACCCAGAUUUACAAAAGCUUUGAAAACCAAAAAUUGCUCAAAAGGGGGCGGCUUUCCCUGCUACAGCCAGAGCAUCACCCCGUGCAGCCAGAUCCCUGGGGGUGAUGGUGCUCCUAGGUGCAAUUUCAAAGCAAAAAGUAACUUUUGCUUUAAAAAUAAAGAUGAAAGGCGUUGGCCUUGCUGCUGUGUGCUGUGUACACGACACAAUGCAGCGCUGCGUCCCGCUCGAAGGUGUGAGCUUGAUUUCUCGUUGCUGUUGCAGGAGGGCUGCAGGGCUCUGGGCAGUGGGGAGGUGCGUGCUGCAAACCCCAGCACAGCUGGUGCUGUGGGAGAAUGCAGGUGGGCUGAUAUAUUUAACUCAAAAGGUACUGAAAGGAUAUCUUCCUUUUGCCUAAAGGAACAGUGAACUUUAAGGCUUUUAAAAAUUGUUGUUGAUUUUUUUUUAAUUGAGUAUAAGUAAGUAUCUGACAUUAUUUUUUUUGUUUUAUUCUUCUGGUUUUGUCCUGGUUGUGUGUGAAAACCUGAAACAGUGUUGAGACCAGAAUGACCAAUAUACCCUAAUGUUCUCUUCCAUUAAAGACCAUGAAGAAAUGUGGCAAUUCACAUGAAAGAUGGGAUUUCUGCCCAGCUCUUCUCCUGUCUCUUGCAUAGAUUUAAUCCCAGACUACUGAAAGAAAAACUCCUGCACUGCCAGUCGUGUUUCCCACAGGUUGAAGGUAUUAAGAAAUCCUGGGAUUAUAGAUCAGCACAAAGCUGGGCUGGCAAUGCGGGAUGUCUCCAUGUGAAUGGCAGUGGAACAAAGUGGCUCCCACCAGGGCCUCGCCAAGAUUUCCCGACAGAAAUCAGUGCAAUUAACUUAUACACUGCCACAGCUUCAUGUCUGAAAGAUAAGAUCUACAGUGCUGUAAAUCACAGUGGAAAUUUCACACUGUGCUUCCUAAGCAGAGCGUGUGCAGUAUAUAACUGUCAUUUCCCCAUUUAACUAUCAUUAAAAUUAAGUGCUGGCUGGAAUCGGUGGUAUGUGAAGGGAGACCUUGUCAUUAAGAGUGAACUGGAACCUCAGUGCAUUAUACAAAUUAAUUGAGCUGAGAGCCCUCAAAGGAAACAAAGACGUAAUUAACAACUUCUGUAUCAGUUCUAAUAGCUUAAGAAGAAAACUACGACGUGAUAUGGAGGCUGACAGCAUCACUCUGCAGAGUUCCUGUGCCGUCCUUGCCCUACUGGUGCUGGGCGCAGCCGGGCUGGGUGCUGGGUGCUGCUGCCGCGUUAGGAGGAAAGUGCUUUGGGUUUACACCAGGGUCAGGCUGUGAUUCCCAGGCUUGUGCUGCGCAGGAUUUUCAGGGGUUGCUGGUGGGGUGGAGGUCUCUUUGCAGGGACUCGUUAGUGGCAAGUGGAGUAUUCCUUUUCAAGUGACGUUUUCGUCUUACAGAUAUUGAAGAAUGGAGCCCGGUCAGACCUUAACUACUGUCCUCAGGCCGCAGAGGUGCCCUGUCACCAGCAGGGAAAAACUUCCUCCGCGAGAGGAAAUACGGAGACUUUGUGGUGCAAAAUUAAAGCAUAAGCUUUAGGAAAAUGGAAUAAAAGCCUGAGAUCAGAUAUAUGUUUGUAAGUUAGGGCUUUGCACGAAGUCCUCCGACAUUGCCAGCAGCAGUCCCUGUGCUUGUGGUAGGUGCUGGGUCCCCACAGCCCCCUCCGUGGCACUGGUGUGCAGGGCAUUCGUCGGUGGAGAGCUGUCUGCUCGGCACGGGGCCCUGGAUCCUCAAGCUCCUUACAGGAUCUUAUUUUCAGUAAUCUCAUGUAUUAUUUAAUUUCUCUAACUUCUGAAAGCAUCAAUAGGUUUAACAGCCUCUCUCACCGCUUGGUCCUGAGGUGGGACAAGGGAUGCAGGAGGCUGGAGGCCAUCCCUGGAGAGCCGCCGUGUGCUGCCCUGCUCCUCCAGCAUCGCUGGGGAAUCAAGUGCCGUGCUGGCAGGUCACACCGGUCAGAAGUUGCCUUCUGCCUGGCAAAAUCUGUUUCUUUUGAUGAUUUCCAUGGCAAAGAAAGCAACCCUGACCGAUAUUUUCAACUUGCUUUUAAAGAAGAGGGAGCAUUUCUGCCUGUGUCCUGGCCCUGCUGGGUGAUGCUGGUGUAAGUCACUUCAGCUUUCUAAGCCUGGCUCUUCAUUGCUUUUCUAGUUUAUUUAGCCUGCAAACGCAUACAUGUUUUUGCUAGGCAGAGUGAAAACGUUUUGCCUAUUAGGACAGGUGGCAACAGAAGGUGUGGGAAAGCUUUUUUAAAAAAUAACAAAUUUGGAGAAAGCCAAGGAGGUACAAAAUUUUUCUCAAGAUCUAAUUAUUCCACGGAAUGAAAAAACAGGCUUCUUGAACUUGCUUUCUCGGGGUUAUAUUAAUAUGAAGCAUUUAAUCAUUAGGGAGAUGAAAUUAGUUCACCUAGAUUGAUCUCUAAGCUGAAGUGGAAAGUUGGACAAAAUAAUCAUUUCAUAGACUUCCUUAGAAUAAUAAUUUUCCUGAACAAUUAUGCUGAAGGACAUCCGCUAGUAACCUUGUGGGGGUCUGAUACCUGCUUAUUCUGCAUCUGAAAAGAAUGAUAAAAAAUGUGUAGCUGUUACUUUUUAGAAACAAGAGUGGGAAGUUUGUGUCUCCGAUGCACACGUGCACAACUCUGUGGAUGCUGAAGUGGAUCUCAGACCUCAUGGGAAGGUCUCAAAGACCUUCAUUGUUUCUGCUUUUCUGUUUUUUUCAUUUUUUAACAGAAAGGCUUGGUUUAUGAAUAUUUAAGGCAAGUGUCUUUUCUCCUCCCAGAUUUUAAUUUCCAGGAAGGAACUGUGAUUUUAGCAGCUGCUCUUUGGUUUUUGGUCCUGGCUGCAGACAGGUGUAACUGUCAGAAUUUGUCUGAAGGAUGGGAAAAGCCAGAAUAAUAAUUGAAAAGAAAUGUAGCAAGUUGUUACUAGCAUAUCAUAACAAUCAGGGGGAAUGUGUUUGCUGACUAGUCACCAGGAGGUCUCCGCAGGUGGUCAGGACCUACACUUCCAGCUUCUUUUAUCUUCAAGGGACUUUGUGACGUGGCUGUUGGUAAAAGGCUGGGAGGUGCCCUUGGCAGUAAGGGUCUGAGGCUGCCGGUGAAACGUGCUCUGCUUUAUGCCCAGGGGUCUCAAGGCGUUGCAUGAGUUUAGAGGAAAGGUCUUGGCCCCGUGGCUGCCGUCGGGCUGGAUGAGACCACGUAGAAAGACAAUUAGAAACUGUGUUCUCGGUGUUGUAAAGCCUUUUUGAGUCAGACGCUGAAACGAUGUUGUGUCACUGCAAAUUGUCACUGCGGCUUCUUGUCCACGAGCUACAGGUGGACGGGGCUGGGCUUUGUUUUCCCCCACCCGACGCUACAGCGUACUGGCCUGAGCACGGCGGGGUUCAGGGCAGGGUUCGCCUCUCGCUGGCUUUAGCGUUUGAGAUCGGAAGCAGUGAUGUCCGUGAGCCAAAUCGGUGGCGGUGAACCAGGGUGCAGAACCCUCGCUGGCAAAGAAAAAGGAGCAUAAUUCAGGAUUUACCUGACCCUGUGCAUUAGUAGAAGACUUCCAGUCCGAACUGCGAGCCAGCCCAUCUGACAGAUGUCUCUUAGGAGCACAGCCUGUUGAUUACCAGACUUAAGUGGUUUUCAAACUUUUCAAAUGUGGAGAAGACCUUCUGUUUGUCUUAGAGGUUUAGUAUCAGAAAAAAAAAUAUUUAUAACCUAAAAAAUUACUUAAAGUUUUAAAUAAAUAUGAAUGUAGGAGAACCCAAGCCAGCACCUGAAAACACGUGAGGCUGUUGAUACCUGUAUCCCCCUUCAGUGGUGAAGAUCAGCUGCGUAAUCUGCAGCGACAGCCUCAAAAUGUAUCCCAGAUGAUACUCUGAAAUAGUUGCGUUGCCAGAAUUAGCAGGGGAGCGGGGGAAGGUGGCAUCUUGUCGAGUUUAACCAGUGCCUGGCCCCUUCUGCAGGCAGUGGCUGGCACAGACAGCCCCAGUGAGCGUUUCGGGGAUGUACUUGUAGUAGAGCUUUCAGGAGGGAACAAAAAAAAGCCUGUAGCUGGCUAUUGCCAGAUGACUCAGAAUAAUGACAGUGUUAGCAGUAAACAGUUUUAAUUUAUACAGGUGACAUUUAAAAUGCAAAUCAGACCUUAAGAUAAUUGCUGGAAAUAAGGAAGCCUCUGUUGGUUUAGGGAAUAUUUCCAGUUUCUAUGGAAAUUAUUUAUAAUGCAGUGAGAUCAAUGAAGAAGCUCAUGUCUUAGAAGACUUGGCUGGAGUUGCUCCUCAUUGGAGUCAAAACAUGUGUUUAAAGGGAAUGCAUGGGGACAGGAGCUUGUGGUCAAGGUAAUAUGCUGGGAAAAAAUACUGAAAUCUGUUGAAACAGAUACUUUUUCUGCUGAUACUGCAAAUGCAGGACCAGAACCAGAUGGUUGUUACCACAGAUGUGUGUGCCUAACUGCUCCCUGAAUUAACCUGAAGUUGCACAUUUGCUUUCAAAUUUAGGGAUUAUUUUUUAUUUUUGUGCAUCUUUUACACGUUUUUUUGUGCAUUUUUUACAUGUUAAUUAGUUCACAUGCUCAGUCUCAACUUGGGCUUGGUUCUAGGAAUUACCUUUCCCUUAAUUAGUGCCUCUUGUGGUAACCUGCCAGUCAACUCGUUCAUCUCCUGGCGGUACUCUCCUUGUUUCAACAAGGAACUUGCUGGUGUUUAACGAAGCGCUUAGCAGGACAUACAAAAAUGCUUGCAUCUUGAACUAACCAUUAACAACUCAUUUGUUCUAAUUGUCUUAAAGUCAAACCUCAAACAAUGCAUUUAAUUUUAUUAAUUAUUCCCUUCAUCGUUUGAUGUCACUGGGAUGGGUGCUGCUCGCUCCGCUGCCCUUGCGUUUCAUCUGCUGCAUCUCCUGUAUACCUCCAGCCUCACCUGGGCUGAUGGUGCUUCGCAUUUUAAUGCUGUUUAUAUUGUUUAGUGGGCUUUCGAGUGCUCUCCUCCAAAGCAAUUAUUUUCUCCUUGCCGUAGGUAAAAGCUACCAGAGAGAGUCCUCUUGGGGAACUCAGCAUCUUUAUCUGAUCUAUAGCCGAUUUCUGUGCUCCUUAGAACCAUCGGUCUUGUUUUAUGCUUUGAUUUUGUCUUCCUCUACCGAAGCUGGACUUCUAGCUAGAGGCUUUGGGGAUUUUUGGUGAUGGUUGUCUGAGUGCUUUUUUUCUGAUCAGCCUCCCACAUACACUUUAAUUUACUUGAUAUUCAUCCUUCUUUGUACCUUGCUUCCAGGUUUUUUAUUCCAACUUUCAGUACACCAUGCCAUUUACCUAGUUAGCUAUAAGAUAUGAUCUCAUAGUUUCUAUCUGAAUGGUUUCUCAUUAGUUGGUGUGGGUGGGAAUGUGUAACACCCACGUCUGUGUGUGCUCCCACACUGUGUGUAUAAAAAUGUAUCUUUUGGAUAGAGAAAAUGAAUAAAAAUGUGAUUCUAAGUUGAAAAGAGACAAAUUAGGUAAUUUUUGCUUGUGGUUUGCAUAUAUGUCCAAUGCAUUUGUAAAACGUCAGGUGUGAGUGUGCACAGUGCGUGCGGAGCUGUUACAAGGGCGCGUUCAGAGGGCUGGAAAUCCAGCAGGUGACCGGGAUCAGCUCUGCUGGCUUCCACGAAGUGUUGCUGAAUGAUGCCAGCCUCUAGUCUUGCUUCUUCUCUAAACCUGUGCUCCCAGCCGGUUGCUAGCAUUACACUGGGUGUUAGUGUUGCACUAGCGUUACUGGAUUCACUUUGUCUCCAGGUCUGUUGGGUGGCAAUGCUGUGGAAACAAAGAGGAUCUGAGGCUGUAGCUGCCUCCCAGUGUCCACGUGUCUCUUGGUGCCACAGCUGCAUCCCCCGCGGGGCUGUGCGAUGCCGUGCUACCUUGAAUGAAGCUUUGAUGGCUGUAUUUUCAAUAAAAACCUGUUCUUUUCCCUACCUAGGUGCUGUUGUGUAAGGGAAGAGGAACUUGUCCUUUUACCUCACAACUGUACCUGUAGCUGCUCACGCAACCAGCCCGCCCCGGCUGCAGCCCCCCUGCAGCUCUCCCCACCUGGAAGAUUCAUUCCAGCUCCCACCUGAGGUUCUGCCUGACCUUAAAACUUCCCAGAGGGCUCAUUCAUCCACCCCAGCGCUCCCACUGCCGUGAGACCAGGCAUGUGGAGUUAUUUCAUCUGUCUAGGGCCAAAUCCCUUGCAAAGGUGUAAAUCAAUGCAACUCAGUAGAUGUAAUUUGGCUGCCUACCGGUGUGAGCUUGGAACCUGGCAUAUGCAAGAGGUUGCUAAUAUAUUAUUCAUUUUAGUGUUAUCUUUUAAUUCUUUAUUCUUUGUAUCGCCUGUACUGAAAAUACGGUGAUGUGCUGUUAUGUCUUCUCUAUCUUUAAUUGGGCCUUUUAAUAAGACUUAAAUACAUUUCCAUAUUCAGGUUAAUAACUUGCAGUUGCACUUCACACUAAUGUUUUUAUUAAGUGAUCCAUUGUUUUUGCAGGUUAGAGAACUCAGCAAAUCCGUAAGCUAUUUUUAAUAAAAUCUGUAACCACCUGAUAGCUAUUACAAACUAUUUAAAAUUAAUGCUGUUCACAUUUGCCAAUGUUUAUAACAGUUCUAAAUUCUUGAGCAUUUAUAAAUGAUGUAUAAAAAGCAGCGUAAUAAGCAUAUUAAUGUCUUUAUCCACCUUUCACGGCAGCCUGUGCUGAGGGCUGCGGACAAGGUGAAGCAGACUGAGAAGUUCUCUCCUGCCCCUUGCAGGACGGUGGUGGCUGGUGCCCCGUGACCGGCGUGGAACGUGGCGGUGGCUGCGGACACUCCUGAGCAGCCUCAGGGUUGGCGUGGCACACGCAUCUUGGUUUCGCUUUAAUGCCGGAGACAGGGAAACUAGGGCUGCCUGAAGUGUUUCUGGCCCAGAAGAACAAAGGAUGCUUCUACUCCCUCUGCAAAGAAAUUUUUUCAGGACUGACACCCCCUUUGGGUCUCAGAGAAGUCACCGCCAGGUAUCUGUAUAGUGAUGUUAUGGAAGAAACAGGACAAAUUAUGUGGUGUUGUCUUUGAAAAUGUGCAGUUUGGGAAAACAGAAGUUUUUCCUUCAAGCAAAGCAAGGGAGAAGCACCACGUGGCUUUGUCUCAGGACGGAGCAUGGGAAGCUCUGUGGGACAUGCAACUUCAUGCAGCCGUGUCUAUUUGCCUGGUUGCAUUUUUGAUCUGUCUUGUCUUCCCUGCAAGCUGGGAGCCGGAACCCUGUGAUGGAUGCACUUCUCCUGUUUGAACCACCUGAGCUGUGGUCCAGGCGAAUGCUCAGCAAAGUUAAUCCUGUUGUCUGAGGCUUUCCAUGAAAAACCCAAACCCCACUGUGGCUGGAGAGUGGGCUGAUAAGCACCUGGAACUGCACGAACACAGCAGAGUAUCUGACUUACGGAUCAGCCACUUCAUGCUCUCAGUGUCUGCAGCCGCCAGGGUCGGUGGAGCUCUCCAUCCACAGCAGCUGGCUGCGCGGCAGCGAUCUCCCCUUGGCUAGGGACACCUCUGGACGUUACCCCUCAAGACUGAGAGAUCCUGUACCUGGCACCUGGUACCCAGCAGAACUGUACAGUGCAGACUACGCUGGCACGAACGCUGACUGCUGUGUCGCUGCCGUUUUUGACGCUGGCCCGGCAGCAGGAGCACUGUGCACAAGCCAGGCGAGGCACACUUGCUUCCCCAUGCCGCAGGACGUGAGCAUGAGCACAGUCUGUCCCAAUUUAUCUCCACUGCUUCGCUAACAUGCUUCUGGUGAGGACUGGCAGACCCGGAGGGGUUUGCCCCAUCUUCCAACUGGCACCUCUGCGCUGACACAGGUGGAUAAACUCUGAAUGCUAUAGUAUGGUUGAGUGCAGUUUUUCAAAUAUCCCUUUUGAAAUGCUACUUUAUUUUUCUAAGGAUUAGGAUGUUCCUGUUGAUCUUCUGUGAGAAAGACACAGGUGGUUUUGAACGCUGUUCCUGCGCAGCUGUGGGCUGUGACGGCGCGGCCGCUGUCAGUGCAUCACAUGUGAACUCUGGUUACUCCGUGUGAAUUUUAAAGCCCGAACUGCCGCACCAGCUGGCUGCGAUUCAAAGCACGGUGGACGUUGCAUGUUCAGUAAUUUUGGCAGUUGUGUUUCUCAGGGUUGGAUGUGGGGCACAGCGUGCUACAAAUCCACGCUUAGUCAGAGCUCUGAGUUUGAUAGAAUGAACUGUAGGACUUGGUGACCGAUGUUUUCCCUUUGCCUGUCAAACAGAAAACAUAAAGAAAAACCUCACUAAAAUGCUAUAUCUCUGAUUUGUUCCUGCAAAUGGAAUUAGUUAAAAAAUAAAUCCCACUGAUCAGGGUUUUAAUAUAAACAUAGAAACCCUUUGAAGUGUAAAAGGUGCUGCUAAAAUGCUGCAUUUGUGUAACUUAGGUAAACUUCAAUUUAAAAGAAAGAUGAUGAGAAUUUUUAUCUUCUGUUGGUUAUUCUAUUCACUUCUGGUUUUUAUGCUUUCCAGAAGGCAAAAAAUAAAUCAAAACUAGACUUAUUGCAGUAUUCUUUAUGCAAACAUUUUAAUAUACAUUGCCUGGCAGUGCAAAGGACAGAUAAUUAUGUAGGGCUAUCUCUUCUGCAAAAAUGGAUUAUUUGGGUCCCUGUUUCAAAAAGCACUGAGCAUACAGGGUCCUGGUUGUGGUGCGAAGAGCUGGAAGCAUCCAUCCCCUCCCGGAGUGGCUCGUGGUCCAGCACCGGCGGGGUCUGGCUGGCCCCGGCGCUCCAUGGCAGCGGUUCAGAGCAGAGCUCACUAAUGGUGGUGCCAAGCUGCAGGCUUUGGUACCAGCCUAAGCAGACUCUGGUGAGUGGUUCCCAGUGAGGUGGGUAAUGUGUUCACAGUCUGGCCUGUGACAUCCAUCACCAGCCAUAGCUGGGGCAUGCUGGUGGGACACAGGCUUCCCCUCUCCCCAGCAAAAAGCUCUGCUCCUCUCUAUUAUACAUUUUUGCCAAAGUAUCUUGGUUAAGCUGGGAUAAUUUUCAAAACCCUGGCACCAAAGUAACUUCAAGAACAUGUCUGAUUUACUAACAACAAUUGUAGGUGGUUUAACUUGCUUAAACAAAUGCAUUUCUGAAAGAGGUUUGGAUGUAUACCUCACCAUAGGACCCUUUUCUCUCACAGCCUUUGACUUGUGACUGCGAUUUAGCAUUUACAAAUUUUUUCCUUUAGUGCGGUGUUUUGUCUAGCUUUGCAUAUAAAAUGGCAGCUGGUUGCAGAAGCAAAUGAGUUCAAGGUGGGAACGCAGACUUGUACCGUGUGAAUCUUGUCCUUUGAUUCCCUAGGAAGGUAACAAGAGAGGAGAAAGCUUGGUGCAGAUCGAAAUCAUUAGACACACACAGUCCUCAUCCAUUACCAAUGUGAAAAGUGAAAUAAUGUACUGGAUAGCUAUCCCAGCUGUUGCACGGUGGCUCCAAACAUCUGGCCUGGCGAGGUUUGCAUGCCAUGGGCUGCUGGCAGCGGUGGAUGAUGGCUUCGGAGCAGCUGGGUCUAAGCACCUGGGCUGUGAACUUUGGGAGGGUGAGCCUGGGAAUGCUGCUGGGGUGUAUGACUCGCUCAGAUUCCUUUGCAAACCAUACCUUCGCUUCACUCCUGCACUCAGAGCACUGCGGUGCAGCUCUGCACGAGCUAGAGAGUUCCCAGGGCAAAGCGUCCUCCUGAUUUACAGCUGCCCGACCUUUGGAGGUGCCUGGGGGCUCCCCUGGGGAGGCUGUGCGGCUUCCGCGCCUGGCGAUGCUUGAAGUGAUGGAUAGGUCUGGAAGGCAGAUCGCUUUGUGAAUGACAGCCGUUAUGGUUCAAACCUGCUCCUGAGCCUUAAUAAAGUAUCACCUCUGCCAGCAUUAAACCCAUCAUCUGCCUUUCCGCUGAGGCUCUGCAAAAGGAGGUUUAAAGCUGAGGUGAGGCAAAGGCUUCAAUGUGAUGGUGUCCAUGUGGUGCUGGAUGUGGGGUGUUUUCCCGUCUUUUCUAUAGGAGCGUGUAGCUCAUGCAUGCCAUAGACACAGCCGAGGGGUUUUGGUUGCGUGCCUUCCAGCCCUGUCCCAGCAAUCCCUCCCCUUCCCCAGCUCCCUCAUGGGGCCGGAGGAGCUGGGGUCCCAUGUCUGCAGCGUCUAACCCCCACACACUGUAAGACACCGGCUGCUUUCCUUCCUGAGCACCCCGCAGCAAAGCAGGAGGUAGUGCCGCUGGGGCACAAAGUGGCGGUGUGGUUGGAUACCUGGCACCCGGAACGGCUGGUGCUGCUGGUGGCCUUGGCCUUGGGGACACUGCGGUAACCCUGGCCAGCCCAGCAGAGCAAGGGCGGGUGGGAAUCUGGGGGAGAUAAACACAGAGUUACAGUAAGAGCACUUCUUCGCCAGGAUAGGGACUGUGCCUGAGGGUAGGUCUUGGUAAGAACGGGGAGAUAGUUUGUCUGUACUAGGGUGUCCGUCCACAGCCCUCUGCUCAUGGAUUAUUUUGACUCUUAAUAAUAAGCAAGCUUAUUCAGGUGUUCCAUGAACUUGAAAGCAGGGGAUUGCAAAGGGCUGGGUGUGCAUUUUCCUAUAGUGAGCACGCCUUAGAAAAAGACCCUGCAGAGACCCUUGGAUUUUUAUUUUUCAGUUUUUUUUUUUUUUU